CCCUUAGAUGUUCUGGGCUGCACGCGUGCUACACUGAUAUUGCCAAUAUGUCAUUCUUAUCCGAAAUGGAUUGGGUAAUCAAGUAAUGAAAUUUCAUGCUUGGAAUCGGUAAUUGCAAUUUUAUCGUGAACGAGGAAUUCCUAGUAAGCACUAGUCAUCAGCUAAUGUUGAUUAUGUCCCUGCCCUUUGUACACACCGCCCGUCGCCACUACUGAUUGGGUGUUCAAGUGAGAUGCUUAGACCCUUGUUGCAUGGUUCAUUAUUGUGCUCCGAAAGGAAAAAGUUUCAAGCUUGAGUGUCUAGAGGAAGUAAAAGUCGUAACA
rnacentral:rRNA from 1 species